UUAGUGGCGGACUGGUGAGUAACGCGUGAAUAACCUGACCCAAAGAGGGGGAUAACACCUGGAAACAGGUGCUAAUACCGCAUAAGACCACAAUGUCGCAUGACGAAGGGGUCAAAGAAAAUCGCUUUGGGAGGGGUUCGCGUCCCAUUAGGUAGUAGGCGGGGUAACGGCCCACCUAGCCGACGAUGGGUAGCCGAGCUGAGAGGCUGAUCGGCCACACUGGAACUGAGACACGGUCCAGACUCCUACGGGAGGCAGCAGUGGGGAAUAUUGGGCAAUGGGCGCAAGCCUGACCCAGCAACGCCGCGUGAGGGAAGAAGGUUUUCGGAUUGUAAACCUCUGUCGCAGAAGACGAAGGAAGUGACGGUAUUCUGUGAGGAAGCCCCGGCUAACUACGUGCCAGCAGCCGCGGUAAUACGUAGGGGGCGAGCGUUGUCCGGAAUUACUGGGCGUAAAGGGAGCGUAGGCGGUCUGAUAAGUUGGAUGUGAAAUACCCGGGCUUAACUUGGGGGGUGCAUCCAAUACUGUUGGACUAGAGUACAGGAGAGGAAAGCGGAAUUCCUAGUGUAGCGGUGAAAUGCAUAGAUAUUAGGAGGAACAUCGGUGGCGAAGGCGGCUUUCUGGACUGCAACUGACGCUGAGGCUCGAAAGCGUGGGGAGCAAACAGGAUUAGAUACCCUGGUAGUCCACGCUGUAAACGAUGAAUACUAGGUGUAGGGGGUAUAAACUCCCUCUGUGCCGCAGCAAACGCAAUAAGUAUUCCGCCUGGGGAGUACGGCCGCAAGGUUGAAACUCAAAGGAAUUGACGGGGGCCCGCACAAGCAGCGGAGCAUGUGGUUUAAUUCGACGCAACGCGAAGAACCUUACCAAGGCUUGACAUCCACUUAAAGUUAUGGAAACAUAAUGUCCCUUCGGGGGAAGUGAGACAGGUGGUGCAUGGUUGUCGUCAGCUCGUGUCGUGAGAUGUUGGGUUAAGUCCCGCAACGAGCGCAACCCUUAUCUUCAGUAGCCAGCAUUUUGGAUGGGCACUCUGGAGAGACUGCCAGGGAUAACCUGGAGGAAGGUGGGGAUGACGUCAAAUCAUCAUGCCCCUUAUGAGCAGGGCUACACACGUGCUACAAUGGCGUAAACAAAGGGAAGCGAGCCUGCGAGGGUAAGCAAAUCUCAAAAAUAACGUCUCAGUUCGGAUUGUAGUCUGCAACUCGACUACAUGAAGCUGGAAUCGCUAGUAAUCGCGAAUCAGCAUGUCGCGGUGAAUACGUUCCCGGGUCUUGUACUCACCGCCCGUCA
rnacentral:rRNA from 1 species